AAAGAAAUCUAGAAAAAAUCAGCACUGCUCAUUCAGGCCUCCAGACUGUUGCCCACACAGUUGUACCUGUCAGAAAUGCCCUCCCUCUGCCAACCAACCCUCUCCCAUCCUCAGGGCCAUGGCGGGGCCUCCACUUCCAUACAUCUUCCCUGGCCACUCCAGUCCUAGGGACGCUUUGCCUUCUUGGGAAAUGGCAGCUUCAUCCUUACCAGUUGCUCAGGCCAGAAAACCUGGGACCAUCUAUAACUUCUCUCCCUCACGCCUCAGACCAGCCCAUCAGAUUGGCCCUUGCUUCAAAAUCUAUCCAGAAUGCAACCAUCUCUCACCCAGAUGCCUGCAGCAGGCUCCUAUCCCACCUCCCAUUUCUAGCCUUGUCUCUCCAUUCUCUGCAUUCUCAGAAUAAAAGCCCAUGUCCCUGG